UUCAGUAAUAGCCUAGAUAGGUAUAUUGAUUAAAAUAAGUGCUCCUGUCACUAACAUCUGAAGUAUCCCAGAACUUUGGGAAAAGAUGUUUGGAAUGUACACUGUCUUGAAUCACUUGAGAUAUUGAUGGUCUAGUUAUAAAAUAUAAUUAGAACUAUGAGACCCAUGGUCAUGGAGAAAUCUCUUUUGAUCACAAAGAAGUGUUAGUAUAAUUUGUCUCCUGCACAAUUAGAAGUUAAUAGAGUAGCCUUGGCUUUUCUAUGCAAAUAAAUCUUUCCUACCUACAGCUUUUCUGCUCUUGGCAUGUUUUGUUGUUAUUGUUGUUGUUGUUGUUGUUGUUGUUGUUGUUGUUGUUUUAUAACAAGCUUUUUCAUGCCCCAUAAUAAUGUGUGGUUGGAGUAAAAUCUAUAAAAGCAAUGACCCUGAAAUACAAAAAGGCUAAAGUGCAUGGGAAUUCAUCUACAUGUAGUCAUCUGAGGAAGAACUGGAAGCCCAUGAGAUGUUUAUUUUCCCUUUUUAAAAAAGUUUAAUAGGAGAAUAAGUGUUAUUGGCUAUGAUAGCAAAAAAAUGAAAACUUUUAGAUCAAAUUCUACUUGGACAUGCAUGCAGUAUGGGAAAGUUGAUAGGUGGCAUACUCUUCCUCUCAUGGUCUCAGUGGCUCUGGCACUCAGUUCACGGCAUUAAAAAGUUUUGGAAACCAUGAAAUCAAGGACAUUUUUCCCUUUCUGAGGUAUUCUAGGGAGAGAUUCUCUUUCAUAGAAUACAAAUCACUUUUUGCCUGCUAAUGAAUGAGAAGUUAACUGCAGGUUAGUGGGGUCGAAGGACAGGAACCUUAUAUUCUUCCUCUAUCCAAGAUCAUUGCAUCGUAUUUGAUCUUCUGAAAAAUGGAAGGCCAUACUUAGCAUGUGUCCACUUAGGUGAAGAAAAAUGAAGAAGUUGCAACCUCUGAGAAGUGUAAAUCUGCCUGCUUGGCUAGGCUUUGUCAGUAACCAGUGUGUAUGCUCUUAAGAUAAGACCUCUUUAUGCUUCUAUUUCUUUUAUUGGAAAUGACGAUUAAAUUAGAUGGCUGUUCCUAAGAUCUACUUAUUUCUUUACUCCAACAUUAGAAGUUGAUCACAGGGAAAUCAGAAAGAUUGCUUGUUCAAAACCACAGUGUGGCUAAUGUUUGUCACUUUGCCCCAAGCAUGUAAUCUGGGGGUUAUUUUCCUCUUUCACAGCUCUCUCAUGGCUCGCUCAGCAAUGGCAUUCUCACUGUAUAGACAUUUAUCAAAGCUUGUCAUCACAGGUUGAUUACAGUGUAGUUUAGGUCAUUUCGAAGGCAAAUCAUAGUGCAGUUUAUUACUAGGAAAUUUUGUUUUACUGUCAAUCUAAGCUAUAAAGUAAAAGUAUGAAUCCCAAAACAACUGAGAGGAAUGGUUAGAGCAGAAGAUGGAAUCACUGUCAACAUUACACCUUCCACUUUCAGAAAUGCCAUCACCUGGGUGGUCUUCAUGGUGCUCCUAAAUGAUGUAUUAAAAGGAAGAAAAGAACCUAUCUCUGUUUCCUUUGUUCUAAGUCCAGAGUCAGGAUUUAGCAAUGAUCAUUAGGUGACUAAAUGGUCAAACAAAAUGUAUGCAUUCUGCCUGACAGCUAAACAACACUGCCUUGGAUCAGAAAUUGGAAAAUUAUACCCAGUCCAUUCUCAGAAAGUGGGAUGUUGCAUGGACAGUACUUACUGCUUGUGGCUCAGUUUGGACAGGCUUAUAGAAUAUAAACCACAAAAGAAAAUUAUAAUGUUGUAGGUUGACCAGAUGGGGGUAGGUCUUUAAAUGAACAUUUAAUUCUAAAACUACGGUCUUGGGGUUGGAGAGUUGGCUCGGUAGUUAGGAUCAUUGAGUAAUCUUGCAAAGGACCUGGGUUCUAUCUGCAGCAUCCACAUGGCAGCUCAACAACCAUUUUUAUCUUUGGUCCAAGGGGAAACAAUGCCUUUUUCUGGUCUCUGCUGACACCAAGGCAUGUACAUGGUGUAUAGACAUGCAUGUAGGCAAUAUCCCUAUACUUUUUAAAAAACUUAGUUGAAAAUUUAAAAACCUAGUGUUGAGAUACCAUACCUGGCAGCAUACUAUGCCAUAAGUAGGAGCCAUGGAAUCUCACAGAGCUGUGGUGAUCAUUAAGGUAACAUGGAAAUUAACUUAUCAUAGAGUUGCAGCAAGAAGCAGAAGUUUACCAGGCAAGUAAGGGGCUGUCACAGUGCAUUUCAUAUUUGAUGAGAAACUUGAGAAUAAAGUCCAGAUCUGGGAACACCUUUCCAUGUACUCCACACUGUCCUCCUCCCUUUCUGUCCUUGGAACCCAGGAAACUGCAUCUCCAUGCAAAGCCUAGGAUGGCUGCCUUUUUCUUUCUGUGUCAUCGACUUACAGUAAAGCAACAAAACUAGGUUUCAAGACUUGGCACUCGGUUGUCCUCAUUGAUAGCAGCAGGCUUGGUUUCAACCAAGUGUUUGCUUGCUUGCUUAUUUGUUUGUUUGUUUUAAGAAGUUCUUGGAGGCAUCCUUUUAUUUUUAUUUAUUUAUUUAUUCACUUUACAUCCCAAUAUCACCCCCUUCUCCUCCCAGUAACCCCUCACACAGAUUCUCCUCCAUACCCCCUCCUCCUCUGCAAAUGGGGAGUACCCCCUGGGUUGUGAACCCCUACCCACCAGGCACAUCACAUCACUUCAGGACUAGGUACAUCUUCUCCCACUGAACCAGACAAGGCAGCCCAGCUAGGGGAACAGGAUCCACACACAGGCAACAGAUUCAGGGACAGCCCCAAUUCCAGUGUUGGGGACCCACAUGAAGACCACGCUGCACUUCUGCUGCAUAUGUUCAGGGUCAAGCCCAUGGUUGUUCUUUGGUUGAUGGUUUAGUCUCUGGGAGCCCCCCAAGGGUCCAGGUUUUUUCCUCUGUUGGUCUUUCUGUGGAGUCCCUGACCUCUUCAGUCUCUCAGUCUUUCUCCCAACUCUUCCUCAAUACUUCCCUGACUGCAUCUAAUGUUUGGCUGUGGAUCUCUGUAACUAUUUCUAUUGCCUGCUGGACGGAGCCUCUCUUUUACAAUCCUUGAAAGAACAAUUCUCAACUUC
rnacentral:lncRNA from 1 species